UUGGAUCAAGACCACCCUCAAAAUAUGAGGGUUCGCCUUAUGGAAUUUAGAUAUGUUACUAGCAAUGGUCCUAUUACAUGUAGUUUGAUCAUCAAUUGGGAAAUGAUGAUAAUUAUUCUAUUGCAGAUGCACUUGUUGACCUACAAUAUUAGUCAAAUCCUGAAUGGCUUUAAAAAGCUUCGUAAACUUUACCUUAGUAGAGGCAUCAUCAGGUCCCUCAGCAGAUGACUUUCUAUGUGUCAUAUUGCCUAUACAAGGAAAAUAGUUGCUUAAAGUAAGAUAAGUGAAUCCUAAACUAGCUAAGGUUCCAAGUUUAAUUUUAGAGAAUACCCUCCUCCAAACCCUUAGUUUUAGUUGUAUGGGAUAUUCAUAGGAUUCUCUCUAAUACCACCUGUGACGUCCUGAUGCCAAUAAGGGCAUCAACGUCCAAAAGAGCAGACAAAAGUAACUUAAUUACAUUACAGUGGAAAUUCACAUCCCAUAAAAAUGUACAAAUGUUGUAUCCUAAGGCUAAUAACGCUAUUAAUUCCUAAGUACAUUAAUCAAAGGUAGCCUAAUUUUACGAAUACUAGGCUUUAAAAAUUUUCAAAAUAGACAAAAGACUGGUCUCCGUUUCUAUUCCUCCUAAAAAGAAUCUAGGUAGGGCUCUUCAGGAAGGCUCUUAAAGUUAGUAUCUAGGGGAUUUUGAUUUAGGGUGAGUUCCAAAAUACUCGGUAAAAAAAGUAGUAAUAGAGUUGUACAAGUAUGUUUAAAAACAUUCAUUAAUGCAUAAUUUAAGAAAUUGAUAUUUGAAAUAUAUUUUACCAAGUAUAAUAUCAUUUCCAUACUGCAAUAUUUUAAUAACAAUAUUCAAUUCAAUAAUUAAAGGUGCUCAAUACCAUAUUCAAUAAGUUUACAGAACAUACACACACACAGGACUAGACACUUCUUUGAGGUUUUAAUUACAAUUUAAGAAUUUAAUUUAGGUUUCAUUGAUUACAAACCUACACAUGCAGCCGCUUACACUUAUUUCUAAGGACGACAAAUGAGACACCAACUAGCUAUGAGUGGGUGCGCAAUCAAUCAAUAUACAUAAUAUAGUGACGUGAAAUAUAUGUACAAUCUCUCAAAUCUAUUCAAUUUUCAUACCUCAUAAUUUCACCCUAGUUGCCAUAAUUCAUCUCUUGUUAAAGCAUGAUAUCAAUUAGUCUAAAUUUCUAAGGAAAACUGAAUAGUAGUUCCAACACAGAACCCAAAACAAGCACCCAUAACCCAGUGGUUCCAAAAACAAUAUCAAUUAUUCCUCCUGGAAAUUCAAAUGAAUCAGAUUUAGCUAGAUUCUAGGUUGAUUAAAUUCUGAUUCGUCUAUUUUCGUCUUAAUUUUUAUUUGAUUAAUUUCUAGGUUAUUAAUUUGACCUAAAAUUUUAAAUCAUAUCCUCAAAUUUUUUUAAUGGUAUGUUUAAUAGAGUUAUAUUUGUUAUUUGUUAUUUUUGAGUUGAUUUUAUUUGUUAUUUUAAAGUUCUUUUAUUAUUAAGUUAAUCUUAUAAUUUUACUCUAAAUUUUAUUUUAUUUUUACCUACAAUCCCAAAUUUCGACUUCAUUGUGCUUUCCAUUCAAUUUUUCAAAUGCUCAUUCUACUUUAGUCUGUUUUAAGCCAUUUCAAAAUUAACUUCAAUUUAUCAAAAUUACCAAAUUGCCCUCCACCAUUGCUUUCCCGAGGGAAUUUUUCCCCUUGCUCGUGCCCGUGGCACGGUGGGCAUCCACGAAGGCCUCUCGUUGUGCAUAUGCCUGUCAAGUCAGCACGGCUUGCCUGGCCAGCUGCACAGGGCAGUGGGCCCACAAGGCAUGUGUUGAGGUGUUAACGAGCACCCUCGCACACAUCCGUAUGUGCAUUUGGGCGCUCACUUUUAUUGUACGCGAUCCUGCGCGUGCUGACCCUUUCAGCACCAAAAUAUGCUCGGCAAAGCCUCGUGAUCGCUUCCGCAGCAUACUUCGCGUGUGCAAUAUGCUAGGGGGAAGGGAUCAUGCGGGCAAUCCCGAGUGCCUAGGCUAUAAAUGCUUUUCAAUCCUAGCAUUUUGGUGCCUCACACGAUUAGUAGAGGCAAUUUUGGCCUCUGUUGGUGAUUUCUGUCCCUUUUUCCAUUCCAUUUCAAUUCAGUUUUCAUUCCAAUACAUUCUUACAAAUUAAUUCAACAUCAUUCAUCAUUCCAAACAUCAUAAAACAACAACUUAAAUAUAGAAAAAUUCUCAUGAAUGCAGACACACCACGUUUAUGUUAAAACCAUUAUCACAGCUUCAAUUUAUUAAAAUUUUAUCGAUCUAAAGCAUGUCUAAAAUCCAAUACUUGAAAUAACUGGAUUACCAUUCAUCUUACCUCAAAAAAGAUGAUUAUUUGGCCUUAAAUGCAUGAGUAGAAGAAUUCAGAAAUAGAAAAACUAAUUUGCAACUCGCUUGGGUAGCAGUUGCAGAAGCAGUUGUGAACUUUUGGAUUAGUUUUUUGUUUUAAGAGUCAUUCUACGCCUAAAAUUGUUUCCUAAUAUUCCUAAGAUCUUAAUCUUUUCAUAGGCUACUUGAAAUUGAAGAAAAAUUAAAGAUAGAAAAGGAAUUGGAAAGGAAAUAGGAGGAUUACACGUUCGAAUUGCGUCUUCGGGUGCAGUAGAGGAAAUGCUUUAGACCGAAGUUUAUUGCAAUUUUUUUGGGUUCUUGUAGCUGCUAACAGGCAUGUUUAGAUACCAAGGAAAGAAUGAAGGAUGCAAUAUAGGGGAAUUAAAGCUUACCUUAACCAAAAAAAGGUGAAAUCUCCUCCUACAGACUCGCACCUCUCCUCCUUGCGUGCUCUAGUUUCUAUCUUAUUUUCUCACUCAAACUUCAUCUUCUGAUUUCUCCCUAAAUUGUUUAUUUUUCACUCCUAAUCGUCUAACUCUCUCUUUCUCUAAUCGAAUGGGGAAGAAAGAAGUCAAAUGGAAGCUUUUAAAUUGGAUUUUUAGCAACUAUUGGUCCUUAAAUUGCAUUCAAGCAAUCUUAGCCAUUAUUGUCCAAGAGUGGCUGAUAGCAUGUAAGGGAGAAAGUUCGAGUUUGACAAUUGGCUGGGCAGCUGGCCUCCUCUGCUAGGUGGCCAGAACACCUCCAUAAAUGAGUUUACGUGGCGUCAAGUUGGAGCCAAAUCUGGAGGGUAUCAGCUAGCAGUUUUGCUAUACGUGGGAAAACUUUCUGCAAGCUAGUAAGUUAUUCCACCCAUAUGCUCGCGGGCAAGGCACGCACACGAUGCCCUCACGUGUGUCCACGACCACCCACUUGCAAACUAACACACAUUCCUCUGUGUGUUUGCGAUCUGUCAAGCUUACAGGCAUGGCAGAUGGAAUUUCUCGCAUGCCCACUACCUGGCAUGCCCGCAGGUUGGCAAUCUCAUUGGUGGGGGAUUUAAAAUCCUAUGGUUGUCCUGAUUUAAAAAAAAAUAAAAAUAGAUGUAUUUUUUAAAUUAAAUAAUUAAAAACGAAUAAUUUUCAUUAACAUUACAAUAACACAUGUGAAAAUUAACUCUUUUAUUGAUUGUUUGAAUUUUUAUAACAUUGGUUGUUACAUACAACAAGUAUACAUGAUUAAAAAUCUAUUAAAUUCAAUUCUGUCCAAUUUCUAAGCCUUUCCCAAUGGUUUAAACCAUUUGGACAGGCAACCACAAUUGAUUUUAAAACCAGAUUACCAACCAUUCUUUAACUUGUUCAAACUCAGUGAAAAAGUGAUUAUUUUUCAGUUUAAAAACUCCUUUCUCAAUAGACAUCAAGGAUCACUACUCGAUAUUCUUUCAAACUCCUAUGCAAAAAGAAUUGGUUUAAAGCUUCAAAUAUGGCUCUAAAAUCACUUCGAGACCUAUCAAAAUAUUCAGACUUCUCAAGUCAAUAUGAGCCCAAGAAUUUGGGGAAAUUUUUCAAUUAAACUGGCUAUUGCUUGGCUAGUUCGAUAUUCCUAGGUGUUUUACUACAUGUAAACUAUUUUUAGAACUCAAAAUCUAGCUUAAAUGGAAUUAAAAAGCUAAAAAAAAUCAUGAAUGAAGUGUCGAGUUCGACCACUUACCAGAAAGGAAAUGGGUUGUCUAAGACCUGGCUUAAUUUCUCAAUAUCCAACAAAUUUUCUGGUUUCUAGGUGGUCAAAAAUUGUUUCCCAUCCACAGUGGUCACUCUCUCACUAUUUUUGUUUCCUCUUUCUCUUGAAUUUUGGCUCACACAGAUGAGCUUAUCUCCUGUUUCGGGUUUUUUCUGCCCAUUGAAGCGAAGAAGAAGAAGAAGGUCAACAUUUUCAAGGGCAAGGGAAACCAUAAAGAUCCGGGCCAUCGAUCUGCAUGCAGUGUUUCUCAGUCGUUUGAUUAGAUUUAUUGUCGAGGGCAUUUUCAUAAAAUUUCUUGCAUUUUAAAUUUCGACUAUUAGAUCAAACCUGUAUGCAAUCUGGGUCGUUGGUUUC
rnacentral:lncRNA from 1 species